rnacentral:rRNA from 1 species
AACGAACGCUGGCGGCAUGCCUAACACAUGCAAGUCGAACGAGACCUUCGGGUCGAGUGGCGCACGGGUGCGUAACGCGUGGGAACCUGCCCUUAGGUUGGGAAUAACUCCCCGAAAGGGGUGCUAAUACCGGAUAAUGUCUUCGGACCAAAGAUUUAUCGCCUUUGGAUGGGCCCGCGUUGGAUUAGCUAGUUGGUAGGGUAAAAGCCUACCAAGGCGACGAUCCAUAGCUGGUCUGAGAGGAUGAUCAGCCACACUGGGACUGAGACACGGCCCAGACUCCUACGGGAGGCAGCAGUGGGGAAUAUUGGACAAUGGGCGAAAGCCUGAUCCAGCAAUGCCGCGUGAGUGAUGAAGGCCUUAGGGUUGUAAAGCUCUUUUACCCGGGAUGAUAAUGACAGUACCGGGAGAAUAAGCUCCGGCUAACUCCGUG